rnacentral:rRNA from 1 species
GACGAACGCUGGCGGCGUGCCUAAUACAUGCAAGUCGAGCGAAGUUUUUCUGGUGCUUGCACUAGAAAAACUUAGCGGCGAACGGGUGAGUAACACGUAAAGAACCUGCCUCAUAGACUGGGACAACUAUUGGAAACGAUAGCUAAUACCGGAUAACAGUAUUUCUCGCAUGAGAGAUAUUUAAAAGUUGGUUAUGCUAACACUAUGAGAUGGCUUUGCGGUGCAUUAGCUAGUUGGCGGGGUAAAGGCCCACCAAGGCGACGAUGCAUAGCCGACCUGAGAGGGUGAUCGGCCACACUGGGACUGAGACACGGCCCAGACUCCUACGGGAGGCAGCAGUAGGGAAUCUUCCGCAAUGGGCGAAAGCCUGACGGAGCAACGCAGCGUGAGUGAAGAAGGAUUUCGGUUCGUAAAGCUCUGUUGUUAGGGAAGAAUGGAUAUGUAGUAACUAUACAUGUAAGAGACGGUACCUAACCAGAAAGCCACGGCUAACUACGUG